rnacentral:rRNA from 1 species
UGCGUAGGCGGAAUAUUAAGUCAGUGGUGAAAUCCUGCGGCUCAACCGUAGAACUGCCAUUGAUACUGAUAUUCUUGAAUGUAGUUGAGGUAGGCGGAAUGUGUAAUGUAGCGGUGAAAUGCUUAGAUAUUACACAGAACACCGAUUGCGAAGGCAGCUUACUAAACUAUUAUUGACGCUGAUGUACGAAAGCGUGGGGAGCGAACAGGAUUAGAUACCCUGGUAGUCC